rnacentral:rRNA from 1 species
GAUCCACCGGACACACUGCUAUCAGAGUGGUGCUAAGCCAUGCGAGUCAAUGCAGCAAUACGUGCCAUACGAUCAGUACCUCAUAGUGGACGUGCCCAAGAGACGUGGAUAGCCUCGUGAAUCUGAGGAUAAUCCGCGAUAGGCCAUGACCUCUGGAAAACAUCAUGGAUCAGACAUAUAUGUCUCUAGGAUCGGCAUGCGGCCGAUCAGGCUAUUGGUGAUGUAAUGCCCCGCGAAACCGAUAGCCGAUACCGGUUUUGAGCGAGGGAGCCCGGUGAUGAGCAUUGAGACAAGGUCCCUGGCCCUAUGGGGCGCAGCAGGCGCGAAACCUCUGCAAUAGGCGAAAGCUUGACAGGGUUACUUUGAGUGAUGUCCGUUAAGGGCAUCUUUGAUCACCUCUGAAAAUGGUGCUGAAUAAGGGCUGGCCAAGUGUGGUGUCACCUGCCGCGGUAUUACAUCCACCACGACUGGUAAGGAGGAUUACUGGCCCUAAAGCAUCCGUAGCUUGUUCUGCAAGUCCUCCGUUAAAUCCAUCUGCUCAACAGAUGGGCUGCGGGGGAUACUACAGGGUUAGGAGGCGGGAGAGGCAAACGGUACUCAGUGGGUAGGGGUAAAAUCCUCUGAUCCACUGAAGACCACCAGUAGCGAAGGAGGUUUGCCAGAACGCGCUAGUCGGUGAGGGACGGAAGCUGGGGGAGCAAACCGGAUUAGAUGGCCGGGUAGUCCCAGUUGUAAAGGAUGCAGAAUCGAUCAUGGGUUGGCCUUGAGCCAACCCAGUGCCGCAGGGAAGCCGUUAAGUUUGCCGCAUGGGGAGUUCGGUCGCAAGACGGAAAAUAAAAGGAAUCGGCGGGGGAGCUCCACAAGGGGUGAAGCCUGCGGUUCAAUGGAGUCAACGCCGGA